rnacentral:rRNA from 1 species
AUUGAACGCUGGCGGCAGGCCUAACACAUGCAAGUCGAACGGUAACAGGGAACAGCUUGCUGAUUCGCUGACGAGUGGCGGACGGGUGAGUAAUGUCUGGGAAACUGCCUGAUGGAGGGGGAUAACUACUGGAAACGGUAGCUAAUACCGCAUAACGUCGCAAGACCAAAGAGGGGGACCUUCGGGCCUCUUGCCAUCGGAUGUGCCCAGAUGGGAUUAGCUAGUAGGUGGGGUAACGGCUCACCCAGGCGACGAUCCCUAGCUGGUCUGAGAGGAUGAGCAGCCACACUGGAACUGAGACACGGUCCAGACUCCUACGGGAGGCAGCAGUGGGGAAUAUUGCACAAUGGGCGCAAGCCUGAUGCAGCCAUGCCGCGUGUAUGAAGAAGGCCUUCGGGUUGUAAAGUACUUUCAGCGGGGAGGAAGAGAGUCAAGUUAAUACCUUUGCUCAUUGACGUUACCCGCAGAAGAAGCACCGGCUAACUCCGUG